rnacentral:lncRNA from 10 species
CCGGCCCCGGGCAAUGAGGGGCUUAGCACCCGGGCCAGCGGCUGCGGAGGAUGUACUGGGUCCCCCAGCAGUUCCAGCCCACCGGCGCUUUGCUCGAUUUCUCACCGGGCCUUAGCUGCCUUCCCUCGGGGCAGGGCUCCGGACCUGCAGCCCACCAUGCCUGAGCCUCCCACCCACUCCAUGGGCUCCUGUGCGGCCUGAGCCUCCCUGACGAGCGCCACCCCCUGCACCGGGGCGCCCAGUCCCAUCGACCACCCAAGGGCUGAGGAGUGCGGGCGCAAGGCACCGGGACUUGCAGGCGGCUCCACCUGCAGCCCCGGUGCGGGAUCCACUGGGUGAAGCCAGCUGGGCUCCUGAGUCUGGUGGGGAUGUGGAGAACCUUUGUGUCUAGCUCAGGGAUUGUAAACGCACCAAUCAGCGCCCUGUCAAAACAGACCACUCGGCUCUACCAAUCAGCAGGAUGUGGAUGGGGCCAGAUAUAAAAGCAGGCUGCCCGAGCUAGCAGUGGCAACCGGCUCGGGUCUCCUUACGCACUGUGGAAGCUUUGUUCCUUCGCUCUUUGCAAUAAAUCUUGCUACUGCUCACACUUUGGGUCCACACUGCCUUUAUGAGCUGUAACACUCACCGGGAAGGCCUGCAGCUUCACUCCUGAGCCAGCGAGACCACGAGCCCACCAGGAGGAACGAACAACUCCAGAGGCGCCGCCUUAAGAGCUGUAACCCGGCAAAGGUCUGCAGCUUCACUCCUGAGCCAGGGAGACCACGAACCCACCAGAAGGAAGAAACUCCAAACACAUCCGAACAUCAGAAGGAACAAACUCCAGACGCGCCACCUUAAGAGCUGUAACACUCACUGGGAGGGUCCGCGGCUUCAUUCUUGAAGUCAGUGAGACCAAGAACCCACCAAUUCCGGACACAUAACCACUAUGCUAGACCAGAUACAGGAAAUCUUCAUAACCUCAGGAAGUUCUCCUGUGCCUCUUUGCAGUCACUUCCUCUCCGUGUCUUCCUCCCACCCCCGCCAUCUGAGGCAACCACAACUGGAAUUUCUAUCAUAUUGUGUUAAAUUACUACUUCUAGAAAUUCAUGUAAAUGAAAUCAACCAGAAUGUGAUGUUUUCAGAUAUAUGAUCUCUGGUUGUUUUGUGAUCCCAGGAUCUACUGAGAUGUAUAGCAUAAGAAGUUAUACACAUCCUGGAUUUUAAAGAAGAAAAACAGGUCCUCACUGCCCUAUAGGACAAACCAGAACACGACGGCCAGGAUUCAGCUCCUAACCAAUCAAAUAGAGGAUUCAAAAAUACCCAAUCAAGAGGAGGAUUGAAAAACAGACUCUUCUGAAUGGACAAAGGGAGAAUAUGGGAGGGAACAACAUGGGAAUAUAAGUCAGACUAGCAACGGCACCCUCUUCCGGGUCCCCUUCCACCACGUGGAAGCUUUACUUUUGGUUUGCUCAAUAAACUGCGCUGCUGCACACU